CUCCUGGUGGAGUUUACUGUGAGCCUAUGACACUGGAAGUUCAAGAAUGCAGCUGUGGCAUUUACGUAGUAUGGCAAAGAUUAUGGCCUUUACAAAAAUAUAUGUGAAACAAGCAUAUUCAGUUGCACAUCUUCUGAUUCAAUUCAGAUGUUUUAUCAGUAAUGACAGUAUGUUGUGUAUUUUUCGACAUAGCUCGUUUACUAUGAUAGGACAAGAAAUAUUAAAGAGGGAAGUUUUGCAUAUCGGUAAGCCUGUGGAUCAUAAUGUUCUCAAACUUUUUUAAAAAUAAAAAAUAA